rnacentral:rRNA from 1 species
UACGAAGGGGGCUAGCGUUGUUCGGAAUUACUGGGCGUAAAGCGCACGUAGGCGGACAUUUAAGUCAGGGGUGAAAUCCCGGGGCUCAACCUCGGAACUGCCUUGAUACUGGGUGUCUUGAGUGUGGAAGAGGUCAGUGGAAUUGCGAGUGUAGAGGUGAAAUUCGUAGAUAUUCGCAGGAACACCAGUGGCGAAGGCGGCUGACUGGUCCACAACUGACGCUGAGGUGCGAAAGCGAUGGGGAG